CUCAGGUUGCUGCUUGUGGAAUUUGGAGCUGUGGAGAUUUGAGCUGUGCUCCAAAAGUGCAUGUAAAGAGUUCCCGAAUCGAAGUGAAGUGUGAAUGCAUCCUUCAAGCUGUGAUUAUAUACCUGAAUGAGAACCCUCAAAAUAUCAUCAAAGAGUACAUGGAUUUCAACGUGAUGGAAGCUGAAGAGCUCGAAAGGAUGGAUUUGGGGUGUUUAUAAAAUAAUCCACGAAGGAGCACAGCCUGAUGACUCCCUUGAA